rnacentral:rRNA from 1 species
UACGGAGGUGGCAAGCGUUGCUCGGAAUCACUGGGCGUAAAGGGCGCGUAGGCGGGGAGGUAAGUCGGGUGUGAAAUCCCUCGGCCCAACCGAGGAACUGCGCCCGAGACUGCUUCUCUUGAGUCCCGGAGAGGAAGGUGGAAUUCCCGGUGUAGCGGUGAAAUGUGUAGAGAUCCGGAAGAACACCGGUGGCGAAGGCGGCCUGCUGGGCAGUAGCUGACGCUGAGGCGCGACAGCGUGGGGAGCAAACAGG